GAGCAUGUGGUUUAAUUCGAAGCAACGCGCAGAACCUUACCAGCGUUUGACAUCCUCAUCGCGGAUUUCAGAGAUGAUUUCCUUCAGUUCGGCUGGAUGAGUGACAGGUGCUGCAUGGCUGUCGUCAGCUCGUGUCGUGAGAUGUUGGGUUAAGUCCCGCAACGAGCGCAACCCUCGUCUUUAGUUGCCAUCAUUUAGUUGGGCACUCUAAAGAAACCGCCGGUGAUAAGCCGGAGGAAGGUGGGGAUGACGUCAAGUCCUCAUGGCCCUUACACGCUGGGCUACACACGUGCUACAAUGGCGGUGACAACGGGUUGCUACCUCGCGAGAGGAUGCUAAUCCCAAAAGCCGUCUCAGUUCGGAUUGUUCUCUGCAACUCGAGAGCAUGAAGGCGGAAUCGCUAGUAAUCGCGGAUCAGCAUGCCGCGGUGAAUACGUUCCCAGGCCUUGUACACACCGCCCGUCACACCAUGGGAGUUGGAUUCACCCGAAGGCGUUGCGCUAACCCGUAAGGGAGGCAGGCGACCACGGUGGU
rnacentral:rRNA from 1 species